rnacentral:rRNA from 1 species
CAAUGAAAUUAAUCUUCCUGUGAAAAAGCAGGAAUAAAACUAUAAGACGAAAAGACCCUAUGGAGCUUUAAACUUAUUUCCACUUAUUUAAUCACAUAACAAUUUAAAUAAUAAGAGUGUUCUUUAAUAGUUUUUGGUUGGGGCGACCCUGGAGAAAAAUAAAUCCUCCAGAUUGAAAAAAUAACCCUUAUAUAAGAACCACAAUUCAAAUAAACAAAAAUUUGACAAAACUGACCCAGAAUAACUGAUCAGUGAACCAAGUUACCCUAGGGAUAACAGCGCUAUCCAUUUUGAGAGUCCGUAUUGACAAAUGGGUUUACGACCUCGAUGUUGGAUCGGGGUAUCCCAGCAGCGCAGCAGUUGCUAAUGGUUCGUUUGUUCAACGACUAACACCCCACGUGAUCUGAGUUCAAACMNGAUC